rnacentral:sRNA from 1 species
ACAGAUGAUGGGGAUUACAACAUCAAGUUACGUAACUUAAUUCGAUUUCUGGGAGAGGGUGACAAGACCAAAAUUACGCUGCGUUUUCGUGGGCGUGAGAUUGCGCAUCAGGGUAUUGGCAUGCAAAUGAUGGAGCGGGUUAUGGCUGAUCUUGGGGAGCAUGGUACCGUGGAGCAGUAUCCUAAAAUGGAAGGUCGUCAGAUGGUGAUGGUAUUGGCGCCGAAAAAAAAAUAAUUUAAUGGGGUAAAUUCCGGUUUUAUCGGGGUUAAUAUUUUAAUGUUGCUCGGAUUAAGGGACUGGUCAGGGCAGCUUAGCAGUAAACAGUCCCCAA